GCAAGUCGAACGAGUUCUGAUUAUUGAAAGGUGCUUGCAUCUUGAUUUAAUUUUGAACGAGUGGCGGACGGGUGAGUAACACGUGGGUAACCUGCCCUUAAGUGGGGGAUAACAUUUGGAAACAGAUGCUAAUACCGCAUAAAUCCAAGAACCGCAUGGUUCUUGGCUGAAAGAUGGCGUAAGCUAUCGCUUUUGGAUGGACCCGCGGCGUAUUAGCUAGUUGGUGAGGUAACGGCUCACCAAGGCAAUGAUACGUAGCCGAACUGAGAGGUUGAUCGGCCACAUUGGGACUGAGACACGGCCCAAACUCCUACGGGAGGCAGCAGUAGGGAAUCUUCCACAAUGGACGCAAGUCUGAUGGAGCAACGCCGCGUGAGUGAAGAAGGCUUUCGGGUCGUAAAACUCUGUUGUUGGAGAAGAAUGGUCGGCAGAGUAACUGUUGUCGGCGUGACGGUAUCCAACCAGAAAGCCACGGCUAACUACGUGCCAGCAGCCGCGGUAAUACGUAGGUGGCAAGCGUUAUCCGGAUUUAUUGGGCGUAAAGCGAGCGCAGGCGGUUUUUUAAGUCUGAUGUGAAAGCCCUCGGCUUAACCGAGGAAGUGCAUCGGAAACUGGGAAACUUGAGUGCAGAAGAGGACAGUGGAACUCCAUGUGUAGCGGUGAAAUGCGUAGAUAUAUGGAAGAACACCAGUGGCGAAGGCGGCUGUCUGGUCUGUAACUGACGCUGAGGCUCGAAAGCAUGGGUAGCGAACAGGAUUAGAUACCCUGGUAGUCCAUGCCGUAAACGAUGAAUGCUAGGUGUUGGAGGGUUUCCGCCCUUCAGUGCCGCAGCUAACGCAUUAAGC
rnacentral:rRNA from 2 species